rnacentral:siRNA from 1 species
GGUAAAAUGAUCUAAGGUGGUGGU